rnacentral:lncRNA from 1 species
CUCAAGAUCUAAGGAGAGCCUGUGCAUUAAAGGCACAUAGUUCCUGAUGACCGUAUUCUUGAUUCCAGCAGGAGUCUACCAAGAGAUCAGUGCUUCAGAAAGUUCUUGUGAUUUUGCUCAGAGACUGAGUUUUUCUUCAGUGUCAGAAGGUCUACUGCAAAUAUCAAAUGGCUGCAUGACCCUGGGACCAUGCAAUGCAGUGCCAAGACUAAUUCUUACAUAACUUAAGUUGAG